rnacentral:misc_RNA from 1 species
GAUGAAGAACGUAGCGAAAUGCGAUAAGUAGUGUGAAUUGCAGAAUUCAGUGAAUCAUCGAAUCUUUGAACGCACAUUGCGCCCCUUGGUAUCCCGAGGGGCAUGCCUGUUCGAGCGUCAUUUCACCACUCAAGCCUGGCUUGGUGUUGGGCGACGUCCCCUUUGGGGACGCGCCUCGAAACGCUCGGCGGCGUGGCACCGGCUUUAAGUGUAGCAGAAUCUUUCGCUUUGGAAGUCGGGGCCCCGUCUGCCGGAAGACCUACUCGCAAGGUUGACCUCGGAUCAGGCAGGGAUACCCGCUGAACUUAAGCAUAUCAAUAAGCGGAGGA